rnacentral:lncRNA from 1 species
GGAAAAUGAAUCCUCAUGCAAGAAUAAAUGGUGUGGAGAAGUCUCAAGUGUAGAAAAACUCCUCCUCUUCCACACCCAUAAAUAUCAUAUAUUAAUGGUGUGUGAAAGAAAUAAAUAGAGUGAAAAAUAAAGAGAUGUAUUAAAAGAAAGACUCUUCUUUUACCACACCCAUAAAUUUUGACAUUGAAUUCAGGUGGGUGGCAUGAAGAACCUAUUUCACAUAUGAAACACUUUCAUAUA